CUCUCAAGUGUCUAGGCUACUAUUUACUCUCGAAGCACCCAUGAAAACAAACACCACAUAGACUUGGCAAAAUUCUAAAAUUGACAACAACUUGACAAACACAUGCACAUGAGGAUCAAAAGGUCUUUAAAGGUUGUAAUGGAGCCAAGGACAAGGUAGGGAAGAAAAAUAUGGAAUAAGUAGCUAAAUCCCAAAGGAAUAGAGGAGCAAUAGGGAAUAAGUGGAAAUUA
rnacentral:lncRNA from 1 species